rnacentral:sRNA from 1 species
ACGGUUAUUUUGUAUUUUAGGGUUUCGUCUUUGAGACUGCUUGUUUCUGGUUUUUCCUGUUCAGUUUGCUUCAAGGUUGCUUUUGGUUGUGGACUUGUUGUAGGACGUUUCUGGAAUGUUUCAGACGCAAGGAGAGUCUCUCCUGGAUUUA